GCCCAACAAAAUAUAAUACAAAAUGCGCAUGCAGAACGGAAACGGCAACGGCAACGCCAACCAACAAAAAAUUGCAGCGAAAAGAACGGAACGGAACGGAACGGAAAGGACGGAAUGGAACGGACAGCAGCGGAAAAGGGAGUAUGCAGUGCAUUGUACUAGAUUCUUUCCUUUGCAUUUCUUUCAGCUCUUCCGUUGCGUAACGGCAAGUUUUUCACACUUUGGCAGGCAAACUAAAUGCAGAC
rnacentral:lncRNA from 1 species